rnacentral:rRNA from 1 species
AAUAGAUACCCUGGUAGUCCACGCCGUAAACGAUGGAUGCUAGCUGUUAGGAGUAUCGACCCUCCUAGUAGCGUAGCUAACGCGUUAAGCAUCCCGCCUGUGGAGUACGGUCGCAAGACUAAAACAUAAAGGAAUUGACGGGGACCCGCACAAGCGGUGGAGCGUGUUGUUUAAUUCGAUGGUAAGCGAAGAACCUUACCCAGGCUUGACAUCCUGUUAAUCACUCCGAAAGGAGAGAGUGCCUUCGGGCCGCAGUGACAGGUGAUGCAUGGCCGUCGUCAGCUCGUGUCGUGAGAUGUUUGGUUAAGUCCAUCAACGAGCGCAACCCUUAUAGUUAGUUGUAUUUCUCUAGCUAGACUGCCCUGGUAACAGGGAGGAAGGAGGGGAUGAUGUCAGGUCAGUAUCUCCCUUACGUCUGGGGCUACAAACACGCUACAAUGGCCGGUACAAAGGGCAGCCAACCCGCGAGGGGGAGCAAAUCCCAUCGAAAGCCGGUCUCAGUUCGGAUUGCAGGCUGAAACUCG